CCUACGGGAGGCAGCAGUGGGGAAUUUUGGACAAUGGGSGCAASCCUGAUCCAGCCAUGCCGCGUGCGGGAAGAAGGCCUUCGGGUUGUAAACCGCUUUUGUCAGGGAAGAAAUCYUCUGRGUUAAUACCUCGGGRGGAUGACGGUACCUGRAGAAUAAGCACCGGCUAACUACGUGCCAGCAGCCGCGGUAAUACGUAGGGUGCAAGCGUUAAUCGGAAUUACUGGGCGUAAAGCGUGCGCAGGCGGUYUUGUAAGACAGAGGUGAAAUCCCCGGGCUCAACCUGGGAACUGCCUUUGUGACUGCAAGGCUUGAGUGCGGCAGAGGGGGAUGGAAUUCCGCGUGUAGCAGUGAAAUGCGUAGAUAUGCGGAGGAACACCGAUGGCGAAGGCAAUCCCCUGGGCCUGCACUGACGCUCAUGCACGAAAGCGUGGGGAGCAAACAGGAUUAGAUACCCUGGUAGUCCACGCCCUAAACGAUGUCAACUGGUUGUUGGGARGGUUYCUUCUCAGUAACGUAGCUAACGCGUGAAGUUGACCGCCUGGGGAGUACGGCCGCAAGGUUGAAACUCAAAKGAAUUGACGG
rnacentral:rRNA from 1 species